AUCAGAAACGUAUAUAAAGCCUGCAAGACUGGCGCACAGAGCAUCGCAGUCCAGAACAUCAGACGGCGCAUCAACUCCGAAAGCACUUCCUUCUCUGAAAAUGCUGCGGAAGAUACUGCUGCUGUCGGCUGUGCUGUGCGCGGUUCUCGCCUCGCCGCGGCCGCAGAUGCCCGGGCUGCCCUCCAUGGGCAGCAUUCCCGGCAUUCCCGGCAUGCAGGGCAUGCAGGGCAUGGCGCAGAACUACGCCCAGCAGGCCAUGCAGGUGCCCAUGGGCAUGAUGCAGAACGCCCGCAGGAUGAUCCCGGGCAUGGGGUGAGAGUUCCCCGGACUCUUCCGCUCCGACGCCUCGGCGACCUUCCAGCGUGAAGAAAAGAAGAAAAAAAAACUGAUCUUCAGGGACAAAACCUUAACACUGUAACACUUUCGAACUCUCUGCCAUGGUGGUCGACGUCCCUCUGCCUCCUUUCCUCGCUUAGACAGAAAAAAAAAACAUUUCCUUUCGAAACAUGCUGCCGAGAAAUAGUUUUGUAAUACUGCAAAGCAAAGUCAUUGCAACUUUGCACAACUCAUGGCUAGAGACCUGAAAAAUUCGCGAUUUAAAAUCCCUAAAGGAUAUAGACUCCAUGAUCCUCUAUGCACUCGUGCAAAUUACAUCUGCUGAUCGGUUACCGACUCGUAACACCUUCUGACUGGAAUGAUCGUGAUUCGCUAAUUCUUCUGUUAAAGAAUUUUUCAUUGGCCCAGAGUCCCUCAGAUAAACUGUGGCCCAAUCACUGACGCAAAAUAAUGUCAAAAGUAUUUGGACUCUAUCCUAUCAUGAAAUGAAUCCGCGAAUUUUACAGGUCUCUACUCAUGGCUAAGGUUAUUAUUUUUAAUAUAUGAAUUACUGAAUAUUUCUUACGAAAAUUAAUGCAUGAUUUUUAUAUUUUAAUUGAUUUUACAUUCAUUUUUUUUAAAACCACAUGAAAGAUAUUCGUAUUUUCAGUAGUUGGACUUUAUUUUAUGUGCAUUCUAAUGUGCGCAGUUAAUACUGGAAAGCUGUACGGGGAACGGUUUAAUAAUAACUUUAACUACUACAGGUACCGGGAAAACACGAUACCGUUGUUUUCAUGUGAAUGUACAAAUGUACAAAUAUCUGUAAGUUUAAAUGAAUUCUUCUGUUACAUUUUCAAUUUAUAAAACCAAAUUACCAUUACUGUAGACCUAGGCUAAAAACACGAUUUAAAUUUUUGUAAUUUUACAAAAGCAUUUUUAAGAUCUAGUUGCCAAACCAUUUUCUUAUAAAUCUAUAAAUCUUAUAAAUAGUCAAUUCCUGUGGAAUAUACAAAACUGAUGGCUUGUAAACAAACAAGUACUGUAGUCUCCCAAAUGACGAUAAACACGUAGUUACAGUAAACAUUUACUAUGUAACAUACAUUGUGUUAGAAAAUUUAGAACUUAUAUAAAAUGUUUUGGUAGCAAGUAUUUAAAGAAUAUCCUAAUAAAAAGUUAAAAAAAGUAA